AGCUCCAAUAGCGUAUAUUAAAGUUGUUGCGGUUAAAAAGCUCGUAGUUGGAUUUCUGUCGAGGACGUCCGGUCCAUCUUUUGGGUGAGUAUCUGGUACGGCCUUGGCAUCCUCUUGGAGAACUACGCUGCACUUGACUGUGUGGUUAGGGAUUCAAGACUUUUACUUUGAGGAAAUUAGAGUGUUCACGGCAGGCAAACGUCUGAAUACAUUAGCAUGGAAUAAUAAUAUAGGACCUUGGUUCUAUUUUGUUGGUUUCUAGGACUAAGGUAAUGAUUAAUAGGGAUAAUUGGGGGCAUUCGUAUUAACGCGUCAGAGGUGGAAUUCUUGGAUUGCGUUACGACGAACUACUGCGAAAGCAUUUGCCAAGGAUGUUUUCA
rnacentral:rRNA from 1 species